GGAGGCGUGGCAGAGUGGACUAAUGCGGCGGUCUUGAAAACCGUUAUCCGCUGAUAAAGCGGGUCAGAGGUUCGAAUCCUCUCGCCUCCGCCA
rnacentral:tRNA from 1 species